rnacentral:misc_RNA from 1 species
GCAAACUUGGUCAUUUAGAGGAAGUAAAAGUCGUAACAAGGUUUCCGUAGGUGAACCUGCGGAAGGAUCAUUAUCGAAUUGUAAGGAUUUUGGUUGUCGCUGGCUCAUUCUCUUGAGCAUGUGCACGCCUGGUCCAAACUUUUCACUUUAACCUCCUGUGCACCUUUUGUGAAUCAUGGAUUUGAUAAAUAUUCUCGAGUUGAAUUAUAUUCUUCUCGGUCUUGGGGUUUGUGCUUAACACGCACUCUCCUCUACAUAAUCCUUUUCAUGGUUCAUGUCUUUUCUACAUACUAUAUAUUUUAACCUAGAAUGCUUAAUAGUUGGGACUUUAGUGACCCUUCUUAAAUCUUAUACAACUUUCAACAACGGAUCUCUUGGCUCUCGCAUCGAUGAAGAACGCAGC